rnacentral:rRNA from 1 species
GAUGAACGCUGGCGGCGUGCCUAAUACAUGCAAGUCGAGCGAACAGACGAGGAGCUUGCUCCUCUGACGUAGCGGCGGACGGGUGAGUAACACGUGGAUAACCUACCUAUAAGACUGGGAUAACUUCGGGAAACCGGAGCUAAUACCGGAUAAUAUAUUGAACCGCAUGGUUCAAUAGUGAAAGACGGUUUUGCUGUCACUUAUAGAUGGAUCCGCGCCGCAUUAGCUAGUUGGUAAGGUAACGGCUUACCAAGGCAACGAUGCGUAGCCGACCUGAGAGGGUGAUCGGCCACACUGGAACUGAGACACGGUCCAGACUCCUACGGGAGGCAGCAGUAGGGAAUCUUCCGCAAUGGGCGAAAGCUUGACGGAGCAACGCCGCGUGAGUGAUGAAGGUCUUCGGAUCGUAAAACUCUGUUAUUAGGGAAGAACAAAUGUGUAAGUAACUAUGCACGUCUUGACGGUACCUAAUAAGAAAGCCACGGCUAACUACGUG